rnacentral:rRNA from 1 species
UAUUGAAACCUAGUGAUGUAUGGAUUAGUGGUGGACGGGUGAGUAACGCGUGGAUAACCUGCCGUAUACAGGGGGAUAACACUUAGAAAUAGGUGCUAAUACCGCAUAAGCGCACGGUUCCGCAUGGAACAGUGUGAAAAACUCCGGUGGUAUACGAUGGAUCCGCGUCUGAUUAGCCAGUUGGCGGGGUAACGGCCCACCAAAGCGACGAUCAGUGGCCGGCCUGAGAGGGUGAACGGCCACAUUGGGACUGAGACACGGCCCAAACUCCUACGGGAGGCAGCAGUGGGGAAUAUUGCACAAUGGGGGAAACCCUGAUGCAGCGACGCCGCGUGAGUGAAGAAGUAUUUCGGUACGUAAAGCUCUAUCAGCAGGGAAGAAAAUGACGGUACCUGACUAAGAAGCCCCGGCUAACUACGUGCCAGCAGCCGCGGUAAUACGUAGGGGGCAAGCGUUAUCCGGAUUUACUGGGUGUAAAGGGAGCGUAGACGGCAGCGCAAGUCUGGAGUGAAAUGCCGGGGCCCAACCCCGGAACUGCUUUGGAAACUGUGCAGCUCGAGUGCAGGAGAGGUAAGCGGAAUUCCUAGUGUAGCGGUGGAAUGCGUAGAUAUUAGGAGGAACACCAGUGGCGAAGGCGGCUUACUGGACUGUAACUGACGUUGAGGCUCGAAAGCGUGGGGAGCAAACAGGAUUAGAUACCCUGGUAGUCCACGCCGUAAACGAUGAUUACUAGGUGUCGGGGGGUCAA